rnacentral:rRNA from 1 species
GAUCAAGCGACUAAGGGCACACGGUGGAUGUCUUGGCGUUGAGAGGCGAUGAAGGACGUGGGAACCUGCGAUAAGCCCAGAGGAGCUGGUAACCGAGCUUUGAUCCUGGGAUCUCCGAAUGGGGCAACCCGGCCCGCUUGCGGGUCACUUACACCUGAAUGCAUAGGGUGUGAGGGCGAACCCGGCGAACUGAAACAUCUCAGUAGCCGGAGGAAAAGAAAGCAAAAUGCGAUUCCGUCAGUAGCGGCGAGCGAAAUCGGAACAGCCUAAACCGGACUUCGGUCCGGGGUUCGGGCACCAACAUGGCACUUCAGAACGGGCGGUGAAUCAUCUGGAAAGUUGAACCGCAGAAGGUGACAGUCCUGUAGCAGUCUGUGACGAAGGCCUAGGUGUUCCAGAGUAGCACGGAGCUCGUGGAACUCUGUGCGAAUAUGCGGGGUCCACCCCGUAAGGCUAAAUACUCCUCAACGACCGAUAGUGAACCAGUAAGGCGACUGAACGAUGAAAAGCACCCCGAUAAGGGGAGUUAAAAGUACCUGAAACCGUGUGCUUACAAGCUGUGGGAGCCUGGGUGUCCUUCGGGACACAGCGGGUGACCGCGUGCCUUUUGCAUAAUGAGCCGACGAGUUGCUCUCUGCGGCAAGGUUAAGCUGGAUCCCAGUGGAGCCGAAGGGAAACCGAGCCUUAAACGGGCGUCGAGUCGCAGGGAGCAGACGCGAAACCGGGUGAUCUACCCAUGGGCAGGUUGAAGGACGGGUAACACCGUCUGGAGGACCGAACACACUAACGUUGAAAAGUUAGGUGAUGACCUGUGGGGAGGAGUAAAAGUCUAAUCAUACCCGGAGAUAUCUCGUUCUCCUCGAAAUAGCUUUAGGGCUAGCCUCACGUGACACCUCUUGGGGGUAGAGCGACUGGAUGGGGCUGGGGGGCCACAAGCCUACCCACCUCAACCAAACUCCGAAUACCAAGAGGCUCUGUCGUGGGAGUCAGUCUGCGGGAGAUAAUUUCCGCGGUCAAAAGGGAAACAGCCCAGACCGUCAGAUAAGGCCCCUAAACGAACCUAAGUUACUAAGGUAGUUGGAUUGCCGUGACAGCCAGGAUGUUGGCUUAGAAGCAGCCACCAUUUAAAGAGUGCGUAAUAGCUCACUGGUCGAGGAAUCCAGCGCCGAUAAUGAUCGGGAAUAAGGUUCGUGCCGAAUCUGCGGGCUUGCUUCGGCAAGCGGUAGAGGAGCGUUCCUGUCGGCUGUGAAGCCGUUCCGGAAGGAACGGUGGAGCGGCAGGAAGUGAAUAUGUCGGCUUGAGUAACGAUAAACGGAGUGAGAAUCUCCGUCGCCGAAAGCCUAAGGUUUCCUGGGGAAGGUAAAUCCGCCCAGGGUUAGGCGGGUCCUAAGGCGAGGCCGAAAGGCGUAGUCGAUGGA